rnacentral:rRNA from 1 species
GACGAACGCUGGCGGCGUGCUUAACACAUGCAAGUCGAACGCUGAAGCUCAGCUUUUGUUGGGUGGAUGAGUGGCGAACGGGUGAGUAACACGUGAGUAACCUGCCUCCUUCUUUGGGAUAACGCCCGGAAACGGGUGCUAAUACUGGAUAUUCACUGGUCUUCGCAUGGGGGUUGGUGGAAAGGGUUUUUCUGGUGGGGGAUGGGCUCGCGGCCUAUCAGCUUGUUGGUGGGGUGAUGGCCUACCAAGGCUUUGACGGGUAGCCGGCCUGAGAGGGUGACCGGUCACAUUGGGACCGAGAUACGGCCCAGAAUCCUGCGGGAGGCAGCAGUGGGGAAUAUUGCACAAUGGGCGGAAGCCUGAUGCAGCGACGCCGCGGGAGGGAUGGAGGCCUUCGGGUUGUGAACCUCUUUCGCUCAUGGUCAAGCCGCAACAAUGGUUGUGGUGAGGGUAGUGGGUAAAGAAGCGCCGGCUAACUACGUG